rnacentral:misc_RNA from 1 species
UGAUGAUGUAUAGUGCGAAGGAAGAAACAGCCCAUUCAAGAACAAAGAACAGCCAAUUAUGUAUAUUUACAACUUCAUAGUCAUUUACAAAAAUUCUACGACUCGUUAACACCUCCCUUUAUAACUGUUUACCACUAAAUUUCUGCGCAUGGUGUGUUAAACUCAAUCAUCAGGAACCUGCAAUCACAGAACCAACAUUCAACCCAAGUAAAAGAGGUACAAAAGAUCAUCAAAUAACAUUCACCAAUAAAAUUUUCAAUCAGUUUAAGGCACCAAAUGUAGUGCUGUUAUUUAACUCCUAUCUCGUGGGUUGAGGGAGAUGAAGCUGAUGACAACACACCCA